rnacentral:rRNA from 1 species
UACGGAGGGUGCAAGCGUUAAUCGGAAUUACUGGGCGUAAAGCGCGCGUAGGCGGCUGAGUAAGUCGAUUGUGAAAUCCCCGGGCUCAACCUGGGAAUUGCAGUCGAGACUGCUCGGCUAGAGUGUGGGGAGAGGGUGGUGGAAUUCCCGGUGUAGCGGUGAAAUGCGUAGAUAUCGGGAGGAACAUCAGUGGCGAAGGCGACCACCUGGCCCAACACUGACGCUGAGGUGCGAAAGCGUGGGUAGCAAACAGG